rfam:Myotis brandtii contig272249, whole genome shotgun sequence.
GGCCAGGUAGUUCAGUUGGUUAGAGCAUUGUCCUCGUAUGCCAAGGUUUCAGGUUCGAUCCCUGGUCAGGACA